rnacentral:rRNA from 4 species
CAAUCAAACCGGGAGAUAGCUGGUUCUCCCCGAAAGCUAUUUAGGUAGCGCCUCGUGAAUUCAUCUCCGGGGGUAGAGCACUGUUUCGGCUAGGGGGCCAUCCCGGCUUACCAACCCGAUGCAAACUGCGAAUACCGGAGAAUGUUAUCACGGGAGACACACGGCGGGUGCUAACGUCCGUCGUGAAGAGGGAAACAACCCAGACCGCCAGCUAAGGUCCCAAAGUCAUGGUUAAGUGGGAAACGAUGUGGGAAGGCCCAGACAGCCAGGAUGUUGGCUUAGAAGCAGCCAUCAUUUAAAGAAAGCGUAAUAGCUCACUGGUCGAGUCGGCCUGCGCGGAAGAUGUAACGGGGCUAAACCAUGCACCGAAGCUGCGGCAGCGAACGUAUCACCCAAGACAACUUUACGGAGUUGACGAUUGACGGAGCGAAGCGACGUCAAAGCGUUCAUUAAAGUCGAGUUGGCUUAGGGAUACGUUCGUUGGGUAGGGGAGCGUUCUGUAAGCCUGUGAAGGUGUGUCGUGAGGCAUGCUGGAGGUAUCAGAAGUGCGAAUGCUGACAUAAGUAACGAUAAAGCGGGUGAAAAGCCCGCUCGCCGGAAGACCAAGGGUUCCUGUCCAACGUUAAUCGGGGCAGGGUGAGUCGACCCCUAAGGCGAGGCCGAAAGGCGUAGUCGAUGGGAAACGGGUUAAUAUUCCCGUACUUGGUGUUACUGCGAAGGGGGGACGGAGAAGGCUAUGUUGGCCGGGCGACGGUUGUCCCGGUUUAAGCGUGUAGGUGUGUGUUCCAGGUAAAUCCGGUUCACUUUAACACUGAGGCGUGACGACGAGGCACUACGGUGCUGAAGCAACAAAUGCCCUGCUUCCAGGAAAAGCCUCUAAGCAUCAGGUAACACGAAAUCGUACCCCAAACCGACACAGGUGGUCAGGUAGAGAAUACCAAGGCGCUUGAGAGAACUCGGGUGAAGGAACUAGGCAAAAUGGUGCCGUAACUUCGGGAGAAGGCACGCUGACACGUAGGUGAAGUGAUUUACUCAUGGAGCUGAAGUCAGUCGAAGAUACCAGCUGGCUGCAACUGUUUAUUAAAAACACAGCACUGUGCAAACACGAAAGUGGACGUAUACGGUGUGACGCCUGCCCGGUGCCGGAAGGUUAAUUGAUGGGGUCAGCGUAAGCGAAGCUCCUGAUCGAAGCCCCGGUAAACGGCGGCCGUAACUAUAACGGUCCUAAGGUAGCGAAAUUCCUUGUCGGGUAAGUUCCGACCUGCACGAAUGGCGUAAUGAUGGCCAGGCUGUCUCCACCCGAGACUCAGUGAAAUUGAACUCGCUGUGAAGAUGCAGUGUACCCGCGGCAAGACGGAAAGACCCCGUGAACCUUUACUAUAGCUUGACACUGAACAUUGAGCCUUGAUGUGUAGGAUAGGUGGGAGGCUUUGAAGUGUGGACGCCAGUCUGCAUGGAGCCGACCUUGAAAUACCACCCUUUAAUGUUUGAUGUUCUAACGUGGACCCGUAAUCCGGGUUGCGGACAGUGUCUGGUGGGUAGUUUGACUGGGGCGGUCUCCUCCUAAAGAGUAACGGAGGAGCACGAAGGUUGGCUAAUCCUGGUCGGACAUCAGGAGGUUAGUGCAAUGGCAUAAGCCAGCUUGACUGCGAGCGUGACGGCGCGAGCAGGUGCGAAAGCAGGUCAUAGUGAUCCGGUGGUUCUGAAUGGAAGGGCCAUCGCUCAACGGAUAAAAGGUACUCCGGGGAUAACAGGCUGAUACCGCCCAAGAGUUCAUAUCGACGGCGGUGUUUGGCACCUCGAUGUCGGCUCAUCACAUCCUGGGGCUGAAGUAGGUCCCAAGGGUAUGGCUGUUCGCCAUUUAAAGUGGUACGCGAGCUGGGUUUAGAACGUCGUGAGACAGUUCGGUCCCUAUCUGCCGUGGGCGCUGGAGAACUGAGGGGGGCUGCUCCUAGUACGAGAGGACCGGAGUGGACGCAUCACUGGUGUUCGGGUUGUCAUGCCAAUGGCACUGCCCGGUAGCUAAAUGCGGAAGAGAUAAGUGCUGAAAGCAUCUAAGCACGAAACUUGCCCCGA